AGCACAUCUAAGCCUCUGAAGAAGUCGCAGACUAAAUGCGUAAGGCUGGUGACGUCACUGGAGGGCAUCCCAAUCGGUGAGCAUGAGGAAGAAACGCUGCAGGCUGGUUUAUACAUCCUAACUGCGUGUUCCGGACAAAAAAGAGCAUAGAUAUGCUUUUUAACAUGAGAUGCCAUACUGGAAAGACACUGUGCAAAGGGAGAGGCAGACCAGAGAGGCAUCAUCUGACGGGGGAGCCAAAGGGAGCGAUGGAGUAGCAAGAUUCUAGUAUCCUACAGCAACAGGCCAACAGAUUUGAUGGGCUGGUGUUCCAUCCUGUAACAAAUGGGAUCAAGCUCUACCACAACCAAUAGCGGCUGCAGACUGGCCCCAAAUUUGGGAUAAUGUUUAAUGAAUGGUCUCAU